rnacentral:pre_miRNA from 12 species
UCGUCUGGCAGAUCAGCUUUUUGUUUGUGUUAUGUUCCUACUACAAUGUAAGACGAACAAAAAGUUUUUCCGUUGGAUG